rnacentral:rRNA from 1 species
GACGAACGCUGGCGGCGUGCUUAACACAUGCAAGUCGAACGAAGUGGCGAACGGGUGAGUAACGCGUAAUCAACCUGCCCUUCAGAGGGGGACAACAGUUGGAAACGACUGCUAAUACCGCAUACUGAAGGAGGGGAUUGCGUCUGAUUGGCUCGUUGGAGGGGUAACGGCCACCCAAGGCGAUGAUCAGUAGCCGGUCUUGGGGGAUGAACGGCCACAUUGGGACUGGGAAACGGCCCAGACUCCUACGGGAGGCAGCAGUGGGGAAUCUUCCGAAAUGGAGGAAAGUCUGACGGAGCAACGCCGCGUGAGUGAUGACGGCCUUCGGGUUGUAAAGCUCUGUUAAUCGGGACGCGGUACCGGAAUAGAAAGCCACGGCUAACUACGUGCCAGCCGCCGCGGUAAUAC